rnacentral:lncRNA from 12 species
GUGACCAACUGCUAAUUAGGAAAGCAUUUGUCAAGGAAUGUCCAUCUUUGUUGAUAGGAUGGAACUAGAACUUUCAGGGCUUCCUCCCUGUGCUAAACUGAUGAAGAGGAAUGGAAAGGUAAUCCUGGGAUAUCUAACCCAAACUCAUCUAGCUCACUUGCAUUCAUAUCUCUGGAAUGAAAGCGUUGAAGUCCCAUUUAGAUUUCCUUUCAUUAUUGAUCUGCAUAUGGCAGGGUGCCUGUCGAUGGAAUGUUGCCUCUGUAGUCCUCUUGCAACUGUGCUUCUCUCUCCCCUCCCUUUCAGGUCGGGAGGCACUGGAGCACUCCAAGAGGGACGGGGUGAAAAAGCGUGAGCACCAGAGGAAAGAACUGGCAACCAGCCUCUGGCAGUCCCAGGAGCCUAGCAGAUCUCAGUGGGACCCCUCUCAGCAUCUGGCUUAUGUUAUCUGUAAGUGUGACAGAUUUCGCCAAGAAGAAAUUCCUGUCUGCUCUCCUGGCACAGAAAGGUGUCUUGGAUGAUGAUCCUUCAACAUGGACGGGCCAUGAGAAAGCUGACAGCCUGCAGUGCUAAGAAUGCUUCAGGUAGUUACCACCCAGUGGACCUCUUCCUCUCUCGGGGC